rnacentral:misc_RNA from 1 species
CAGAGUUAUCUAACUCCCAAACCCAUGUGAACUUACCAUUUGUUGCCUCGGCAGAGCCUACCCGGUAACUGUCCAGAGAAGCUACCCUGUAGCUACCCUGGAACAGCCCACCUCGUAGCGUCCUGCCGGUGGACUUUUAAACUCUUGUUAUUUUAUAGUAAUCUGAGCGUCUUAUUUUAAUAAGUCA